rnacentral:rRNA from 1 species
GACGAACGCUGGCGGCGUGCUUAACACAUGCAAGUCGAACGGAAAGGCCCUGCUUUUGUGGGGUGCUCGAGUGGCGAACGGGUGAGUAACACGUGAGUAACCUGCCCUUGACUUUGGGAUAACUUCAGGAAACUGGGGCUAAUACCGGAUAGGAGCUCCUGCUGCAUGGUGGGGGUUGGAAAGUUUCGGCGGUUGGGGAUGGACUCGCGGCUUAUCAGCUUGUUGGUGGGGUAGUGGCUUACCAAGGCUUUGACGGGUAGCCGGCCUGAGAGGGUGACCGGCCACAUUGGGACUGAGAUACGGCCCAGACUCCUACGGGAGGCAGCAGUGGGGAAUAUUGCACAAUGGGCGGAAGCCUGAUGCAGCAACGCCGCGUGCGGGAUGACGGCCUUCGGGUUGUAAACCGCUUUCGCCUGUGACGAAGCGUGAGUGACGGUAAUGGGUAAAGAAGCACCGGCUAACUACGUGCCAGCAGCCGCGGUGAUACGUAGGGUGCGAGCGUUGUCCGGAUUUAUUGGGCGUAAAGGGCUCGUAGGUGGUUGAUCGCGUCGGAAGUGUAAUCUUGGGGCUUAACCCUGAGCGUGCUUUCGAUACGGGUUGACUUGAGGAAGGUAGGGGAGAAUGGAAUUCCUGGUGGAGCGGUGGAAUGCGCAGAUAUCAGGAGGAACACCAGUGGCGAAGGCGGUUCUCUGGGCCUUUCCUGACGCUGAGGAGCGAAAGCGUGGGGAGCGAACAGGCUUAGAUACCCUGGUAGUCCACGCUGUAAACGGUGGGUACUAGGUGUGGGGUCCAUUCCACGGGUUCCGUGCCGUAGCUAACGCUUUAAGUACCCCGCCUGGGGAGUACGGCCGCAAGGCUAAAACUCAAAGGAAUUGACGGGGCCCCGCACAAGCGGCGGAGCAUGCGGAUUAAUUCGAUGCAACGCGUAGAACCUUACCUGGGUUUGACAUGGAUCGGGAGCGCUCAGAGAUGGGUGUGCCUCUUUUGGGGUCGGUUCACAGGUGGUGCAUGGCUGUCGUCAGCUCGUGUCGUGAGAUGUUGGGUUAAGUCCCGCAACGAGCGCAACCCUUGUUCACUGUUGCCAGCACGUUAUGGUGGGGACUCAGUGGAGACCGCCGGGGUCAACUCGGAGGAAGGUGGGGAUGACGUCAAGUCAUCAUGCCCCUUAUGUCCAGGGCUUCACGCAUGCUACAAUGGCUGGUACAGAGAGUGGCGAGCCUGUGAGGGUGAGCGAAUCUCGGAAAGCCGGUCUCAGUUCGGAUUGGGGUCUGUAACUCGACCUCAUGAAGUCGGAGUCGCUAGUAAUCGCAGAUCAGCAACGCUGCGGUGAAUACGUUCCCGGGGCU